rnacentral:lncRNA from 1 species
UGAUCUUUUGACUUUUUGCCUAACUGAAAUGAUACAAAACUGUAAGGUGUUUGAUUUCAUUGAGUAAAUUGUAUUCGUAAGCAUACCCCUUGUUAGUGUCACUAGAAAAGUAGAAAGUAUGCUCGAUGUCAUUAGGUUAUCAAACAAAUUAAAACACACUCAAGAAAAUGCAAAAGAAAAAAUAUUGUAUAUAAAAAAACUUGGAAUUAACUCUGUUUUUUUUUCACAACCUAGGAGGUGAUCGACUCUUGAACACACUUGAACACAGUGCCGGCUCUUGCCCAUGGCAAUAUGAAUAUUUGCCAUGGAUCCAUAAUUUUUUGUGUUGUUUUAAAGGUCCAUUUAAUCUGUUAAAUUAUCAAAAAUGCCUAUAAUUAACCAAACCUAAUUUACUUACUGAAAAAACAAAAUAAGAAAAUAAGAAAUAUGUAUUUUCACAAUUAGUUUUGGAAUAUUUUUUUCUAUUUGUUUCGGAUCUUAGAGAUCAAAUUAAAAAAAAUGUAGCGAAAAAAAAAUAUAGAGAAUAUUUAUAAAAGGGUCCUUGAAAUAUGAACCAUUUUAUAAAUAUUUUCUAUAU